rnacentral:lncRNA from 1 species
UCCCUAUUUGCUCAUAUACUACAAUUGUCAUCCAUAGGGUUUAAUUUGUGUGUCAAGUUAAUUUUCACAUCACUUUCUCUCUUCCCUCUUGACCGAUGUGGGACUUUGGGGUUCCAACAUAGAGAAUCUCAAAAUUGCACUCACAGUCAUGCUCUUUUUGUGAUGCGUAUUCAUUUCACAUGCUUCCAAAAAGAGCCGUUAGGCUAUUACAAAAGAGAGAGAGAGAGAGUCUAUGAACUCAUCUCAGCCAUUCAUUGGCUUUGCCCUAUAAGACAAUGCCAGAUGCUCACAAUCGAGCCUAAAACAAUUAGAUACAAUCUCAGCCCUUGAUCUAUAACAACCUAACAACACAAGCAUUUCCGUAAUUAAAUCAAUUAAUUGUUAAGGCAUAAUUCCAAUACAAGCAUUACUCCUUGUUGUCCUCUUUGUCGAACUCCGACAAUAACAAGAAGUCCAAGCACGCUGCCACCGUCAAAGCCAAGGUUGAAGACAACCAGCCGUCGGCACACAUUUCCGUCAAAUCCAAAUCCCUCAAGUGGUACAAAAACCACGAAAGCUUUUCAAUGGAUCAUGGUCAUCCUCAAAAACCUGUGCAUUCCUCUUUGCGACAAAAACUUGAAGAGGCAAAGUUCUCCAGCAAGCAAAUAAAUAAGAACUGAAAGAAAGAAGUCUCCUGCAAACAAAGUUCCCAAAUCAAGUGGGAAUGAUGGUCGCGUAGAAACCAAAAGGAAAAAGUCAUCUCAAAGGCUUUCCUUUUUAAAACAAGUUGUUGUGCUGUUCUAUUACACCAGGAACUUAAAAAUAUCACAUUAUUAAAAAAGAAAUAAUAUAGAGGGAGGAUGCCUCACGUCGUUGGUAUGCGAAGAGGUGAUUGUCGUAAUCUUCCAAGAAGACAAGCACAAGCAACAACCCUCAUUGACCACAAAGAAGAAUUAGGAGUAAACUAAUUUUCUAGAACAAGUUCUUUUCCGAACUUGUCGAAAGAAGAAAUAUGCAACUGAUGAUCUUUAAUCAUCACUUGUUUAUAUUUGGCUGCUUGUUGCUGCUCUAUGCUUCAAAGAAUGCUCAGAAAAGAUGAAGCAGAAAAGUCUUUUAAAUGACUUGAAUGGAACCAUGUUUUUUUUUUUUUUUGGAGCUAAUAAUAUUAUCUACACUAAGGAGAAGAUGUGGGCUUAAGGGGGAAGAGGUGGGCUUAGCCUCAUAAUGAGCUAGCAAUAAU